rnacentral:rRNA from 1 species
ACUCUUACGGGAGGCAGCAGUGGGGAAUUUUGGACAAUGGGCGCAAGCCUGAUCCAGCAAUGCCGCGUGCAGGAAGAAGGCCUUCGGGUUGUAAACUGCUUUUGUACGGAGCGAAAAGGCUCCUCUAAUACAGAGGUUCAUGACGUACCGUAAGAAUAAGCACCGGCUAACUACGUGCCAGCAGCCGCGGUAAUACGUAGGGUGCGAGCGUUAAUCG